AAAAAAGUGAAAUGAAUUGAGCCAAACAAGAUCUUAGCAAAAAAAUUUAGAUUAAACAAAAAUAUUAUUUUAUCAAAUUUUAUGGAUGUACUAAUUAUAAAAUCUGCAUCUUUUUAAAACAUGUUUAUAUUUAUUUUGAGUUCUAUUAUUUUAAAUAGAUCUUGAAUUGUUAUCUCUUGUAAAAGAUUUAUUAUCUCUUUUUUAUUGUGAGAAUUUGAUAUUUCCUUCAUUUGGAAGGAUUUGUUUUAUAUUAUGGAGUUUCUUAGGCAUAAUAUUUUAUUAUUUAAUAGAAAUACAAUGAUACUAAAUCUUUACCGUAAAUCCUUACAAUGGAGGAAAUAACAAAUCCUUACUAAGAUCUAUAAAUACAUGUUUGUUUUAAAAGAAUAUAGGUAUGGAGAUUAUUGAAAACAAUUAAAAAAAAAAGAAAAAGAGAGAGAGAAAUGAGAGAGUUUAGAGACCCAUUUAAGCUAUGAAACGAAGAAGAGCUCAAAUGAAAAGAGAGGCAUCUACUUACUUUAAAAGAGUCAAACAUUAUCUCAUUGAAGUUAUAUACUGCAGCUGCCUACCGAGGGAAUGCCUUUGAAGUUAUAUACUGCAGCUGCAAAUGAUUCAAUUGGGUGCUUUUCUAGCUUCAAACAAUAACAAAAGACAGGAGUAAGCUAUUUAUUAUCUAAGCAGAGUCCUUAUUCCCAUCAAAAUGAGGGAGAGAAUGCGAAGCAGAAACUAUUAUGGCAAUAUAGAGCACCAACAAAAAUGCUCACCGAAUUAGCAUUUCCUGAUCUUCUGGCUCUCUCAGCUAAAGCUUCUCAGGAAUGUCUUUAAGUUUGGUUGAAUUACAAUUCCUCAUAUACAUGCAGUAUAACUUGCAUUAAGGUUCAUCACGCAUUGAGAGUAAUUAUCUAUAUUUUCUUGUCAAAUUGAACAUUGCCUUUGACAGCUAAAGCUUCUCAGGAAUGUCUUUAAGUUUGGUUGAAUCACAAUUCCUCAUAUACAUGCAAUAUAACUUGCAUUAAGGUUCAUCACGCAGGUAAUUAUUAUUGAUUUCUUGGUUCACAUUGGAAAUUUUCAGGAUUAAAUUGUGUAUAUAUGACCUGUUCAGUUACGCAGGUAAAUUGGAAAUUUUCAGGAUUAAGUUGUGUAUAUAUGACCUGUUCAGUUACGCAGGUAAUUAUUAUUGAUUUCUUGGUUCACAUUGGAAAUUUUCAGGAGUAAGUUGUGUAUAUAUGACCUGUUCAGUUACGCAGGUAAAUUGGAAAUUUUCAGGAUUAAGUUGUGUAUAUAUGACCUGUUCAGUUACGCAGGUAAUUAUUAUUGAUUUCUUGGUUCACAUUGGAAAUUUUCAGGAUUAAGUUGUGUAUU